rnacentral:rRNA from 1 species
GAUGAACGCUGGCGGCGUGCCUAAUACAUGCAAGUCGAGCGAACGGACGAGAAGCUUUCUCCUCUGAUGUUAGCGGCGGACGGGUGAGUAACACGUGGAUAACCUACCUAUAAGACUGGGAGAACUUCGGGAAACCGGAGCUAAUACCGGAGAAUAUUUUGAACCGCAUGGUUCAAAAGUGAAAGACGGUCUUGCUGUCACUUAUAGAUGGAUCCGCGCUGCAUUAGCUAGUUGGUAAGGUAACGGCUUACCAAGGCAACGAUGCAUAGCCGACCUGAGAGGGUGAUCGGCCACACUGGAACUGAGACACGGUCCAGACUCCUACGGGAGGCAGCAGUAGGGAAUAUUGCGCAAUGGGCGAAAGCCUGAUGCAGCAACGCCGCGUGAGUGAAGAAGGUCUUCGGGUCGUAAAGCUCUGUUGUUAGGGAAGAACAUAUGUGUGUGUAACUGUGCACAUCUUGACGGUACCUAAACAGAAAGCCACGGCUAACUACGUG